rnacentral:lncRNA from 1 species
AUGGCCAAGGAAGGCACUGCUGCAGGAAGUGCACUACCAGCUUUACAGGAGGAGCUUAAGAAUAUGAUCCAUGAAAGCCUAGCACAUGAUUCACAGAACUGAAAGCCUUAGGCAAGCUCCAAGCACAUCUUUGUGUGUCUGUUCCCAAUUGUGUAUGUAUAUGUGUGUUUAUCAGGUUGUUUGUAUGUAUACCAGGAUGAUGGAGUCCCUUUGUGCUGAGCACCAAAUCAACCUAAAGUUGACACAACAAGCUAAAGAGCUAGGCCUCUGUGUGUGCAGCUAUCAAGGUGGGAUACCCUCCCCUCCCCUCCCGAUCCCACCCUCACCCCAUAAAGUAGUUGGUUGCAACUAUGUAGCGGGUACAGACUGUGGCAAAGAAUCUCAGGCCAAGAGGUCAUGGAAGAGCAUUUCAAAAGCAAGAAAUAA